UUUCCGUUGCCGUUAUCAAAUUGUUAUAUUAUUCUGUGUCUACUGUUUACGGAAUUAUUUAGCGAUUACGGAAUUUGCAACCGCUGCCAACAGAAAGUUGUAUCUUACUUUGUAGACAAUAUGGUGGUAAAUAUCCUUGUGAACAUCCAUGAUAACAGAUGCCAGUAUAUUGGUCACAUUUAUUGUUAUGACAAUUUGAUGAACAUGUUUGCUUACAAUCCGCACCAUAUGUACCGGGCUUACAAUCUUUAUGGAAAAAUUGUUUAAACCUUUGUUACACAAUGGACCAGUGAGGCCUACUGGACAUGUACAGCCAUAAUAUUUCGUGCACAUCAACAAUCCGCGACACAUUUCAUUGGCAUGCAUUGAACAAGC